rnacentral:rRNA from 1 species
AUCCGUAUUUGUGAGGAUGUGACCAUCGUAGUUGCAAAUGUUACUAUCUUGAUAGAUUUUGUUACACUUGAUACUCCCGAGGACGAGAACAUAUCGAUUAUCUUUGGUAGAUGCUUCUUGGAUACUCCAGGGGUUGUUAUUGAUUGCAACAAAAGCAAGGUCACUUUUCAUAUCAAUGGUACUGAGCAAACAGUACACUUUCCGAAGAAGCAAUUUCAAGUGAAUGGUAUUAAUGUUAUUGAAAAUGGUCCAACAAUUAUUAUUGGAACUUUUGAACUCCCUCUUCCUACUGUCAAAAAUAAAUAUGAAACUCUUAUUAUUUUGGAUAUGUGUAUCCCCAUUGAGGUAACCUAG